rnacentral:rRNA from 1 species
UACGAAGGGGGCUAGCGUUGUUCGGAAUCACUGGGCGUAAAGGGCGCGUAGGCGGCUUGAUAAGUCGGGGGUGAAAGCCUGUGGCUCAACCACAGAAUUGCCUUCGAUACUGUCGGGCUUGAGACCGGAAGAGGUAAGUGGAACUGCGAGUGUAGAGGUGAAAUUCGUAGAUAUUCGCAAGAACACCAGUGGCGAAGGCGGCUUACUGGUCCGGUUCUGACGCUGAGGCGCGAAAGCGUGGGGAGCAAACAGG